rnacentral:rRNA from 1 species
UACGUAGGGCGCGAGCGUUGUCCGGAUUUAUUGGGCGUAAAGAGCUCGUAGGCGGCUUGUCGCGUCGACUGUGAAAUCCCGCGGCUCAACUGCGGGUCUGCAGUCGAUACGGGCAGGCUAGAGUUCGGUAGGGGAGACUGGAAUUCCUGGUGUAGCGGUGGAAUGCGCAGAUAUCAGGAGGAACACCAAUAGCGAAGGCAGCUCGCUGGGACGUUACUGACACUAAGGCGCGAAAGCGUGGGGAGCGAACAGG